rnacentral:rRNA from 2 species
AUGAAGAACGUAGCGAAAUGCGAUACUUGGUGUGAAUUGCAGAAUCCCGUGAACCAUCGAGUCUUUGAACGCAAGUUGCGCCCGGAGCCGUGAGGCCGAGGGCACGCC